CGGGGAGUGGCGUAGCCCGGAAGCGCACCUGGCUGGGGGCCAGGGGGUCGCGGGUUCAAAUCCCGCCUCCCCGACCA
rnacentral:tRNA from 1 species